AUGGACCAAUCGACAUCGAAAAACAAGAAUUCCUCCAAUCUACAAGACCCCCAAAAUAUGGGAAUAAACCAGCCCAUGCUACUCUUUGAAGAUCCUCCCCAAGCUUCCGGGAACAAAGGACGAGUCCAAGCCUCACUAAAGCCUGAAGACUACACCAUCAAUCUGAAUCACCUCAAGCAAUAUUCUUCGAAUGAAAGGUGCCACCUGACUCCAGCAAAACGAAGGAUAAAUGUCACGUGUUAUAGAUGUGGCGAGAAAGGACAUUGUGCCUUGGAUUGCCCUAAGAAAAAGCUAGGAAAUGGACAAGUAAGGAAUAUACCUCGAUACCCAAAAAGGAAAAUGAGGGCAGGAAUACCACCAAAACCGAUGCCACAUUCACUCUAUCCAAAACCUAUGUAUCAGCAAUUUCGUAGACAAGGAACUAUACCACAUUGGUGGAAGGGAAAACGGAAAAGAAAAGCGUCAUCACUAAUAACAUAUGCUGAACUUGACCUCAGUAGAAUGGGAAUAGAAAUCGACAUGGACCAAUCGACAUCGAAAAACAAGAAUUCCUCCAAUCUACAAGACCCCCAAAAUAUGGGAAUAAACCAGCCCAUGCUACUCUUUGAAGAUCCUCCCCAAGCUUCCGGGAACAAAGGACGAGUCCAAGCCUCACUAAAGCCUGAAGACUACACCAUCAAUCUGAAUCACCUCAAGCAAUAUUCUUCGAAUGAAAGGUGCCACCUGACUCCAGCAAAACGAAGGAUAAAUGUCACGUGUUAUAGAUGUGGCGAGAAAGGACAUUGUGCCUUGGAUUGCCCUAAGAAAAAGCUAGGAAAUGGACAAGUAAGGAAUAUACCUCGAUACCCAAAAAGGAAAAUGAGGGCAGGAAUACCACCAAAACCGAUGCCACAUUCACUCUAUCCAAAACCUAUGUAUCAGCAAUUUCGUAGACAAGGAACUAUACCACAUUGGUGGAAGGGAAAACGGAAAAGAAAAGCGUCAUCACUAAUAACAUAUGCUGAACUUGACCUCAGUAGAAUGGGAAUAGAAAUCGACAUGGACCAAUCGACAUCGAAAAACAAGAAUUCCUCCAAUCUACAAGACCCCCAAAAUAUGGGAAUAAACCAGCCCAUGCUACUCUUUGAAGAUCCUCCCCAAGCUUCCGGGAACAAAGGACGAGUCCAAGCCUCACUAAAGCCUGAAGACUACACCAUCAAUCUGAAUCACCUCAAGCAAUAUUCUUCGAAUGAAAGGUGCCACCUGACUCCAGCAAAACGAAGGAUAAAUGUCACGUGUUAUAGAUGUGGCGAGAAAGGACAUUGUGCCUUGGAUUGCCCUAAGAAAAAGCUAGGAAAUGGACAAGUAAGGAAUAUACCUCGAUACCCAAAAAGGAAAAUGAGGGCAGGAAUACCACCAAAACCGAUGCCACAUUCACUCUAUCCAAAACCUAUGUAUCAGCAAUUUCGUAGACAAGGAACUAUACCACAUUGGUGGAAGGGAAAACGGAAAAGAAAAGCGUCAUCACUAAUAACAUAUGCUGAACUUGACCUCAGUAGAAUGGGAAUAGAAAUCGGUGAUUUGCCUGAAGAAGUUGAAGAACUACAACUAUGGCAACGAAAGAGAGAUGGCUGU
rnacentral:lncRNA from 2 species